rnacentral:lncRNA from 1 species
CUGGAUUCUCAAGACAUUCUGAAAGGCCUUUUUGAACUCUUGGCUGGAGCAUGGGUAUAUGAUGGGGUUGAUGCAGCUGUUUAGAUAUCCGAGCCAAAAUACUAUUUUAAAAACUGUUUCAGAGGGCUUGAAAUCAGGGAAGAAAGACCAAUGGGCAUGACUAAGAAAAAAGGCAGCCAGCAGAGGACGAAGCAGCCGACCACGAUGCCCAGCGUUUUGGCCGCUUUCUUCUCCCGGGAGAACUUGAGGAGCCUCACUGAGAAGUGCGUCUUGGUCUUGGCGCUGGCCAUCCCGCUGCCUCCUGCCGGGGCGUUUUUCCGAUGGAUGCGGAGCGUCACUUGCUCCGAGUCCGACUUGUCGGUCUUGAGGCCAGACUUGAGGCCCCGGCUCUCCCUCUUGGCCACCACGUAGACGCGGCAGUACAUGACCA